rnacentral:rRNA from 1 species
GUGAGGAAUUUUGCGCAAUGGGGGAAACCCUGACGCAGCAACGCCGCGUGAGUGAUGAAGAUCUUCGGAUCGUAAAGCUCUGUCAAGUGGGAAAAAAUCCUUUUGGUUAAAACCUGAAAGGACUGAUGGUACCAUUGAAGGAAGCACCGGCUAACUCCGUGCCAGCAGCCGCGGUAAUACGGAGGGUGCAAGCGUUGUUCGGAAUUACUGGGCGUAAAGAGCGUGUAGGCGGUUUGGAAAGUCAGAUGUGAAAGCCCUGGGCUCAACCCAGGAAGUGCAUUUGAAACUUCCAGGCUAGAGUAUGGGAGAGGAGAGUGGAAUUCCCAGUGUAGAGGUGAAAUUCGUAGAUAUUGGGAGGAACAUCGGUGGCGAAGGCGACUCUCUGGAACAAUACUGACGCUAAGACGCGAAAGCGUGGGGAGCAAACAGGAUUAGAAACCCGUGUAGUCC